CCGCCACCGUUCUCACUCUCCCCACCAUCGCUCACUCUCCCCACCACCGUUCUCACUCUCACUUUCAAUUUCUUCCCCCUCUAUCUCGCUCUGCAAUCUGCGUGGCCACCCAACUGAAGCAGGGAAGCCCUAAUGCCGUCGCCGACUCUUUCCGAUCAAGUCACGCAAGUCGAUUAUAAAAUGUACACAUCUGUUGAUAUGUAUAAUUUCUAUUAAUAUGUUUUGUUUGUGUGUCUGUAUAUGGCCGACUCUGUGACUGUGUUCAUCUAUUUUGGAGAAUUUUAUUGGAUAUUUACCUUCUUAAUGUGUAUUAUAUGUGAAUAGUUGUAAGAAUCUUAAUUUCUCACAAAUUAUAUGUUCUCACAAAUGGCUACCAACCUCCAUGGAUUUUGUCAUAUUCUAUUUGUUUUAUUAACUUUGUAAGAUCAAAAGGAUACAAAAAAUUAUUUUGUGCACAGGGCACUGUUCAGGCAAUCGAGAACAAGAAAAAAUUUAAUGUCAAGAUGUGGGAAUUAUGAAAAAUUGAUGAAAAAGUUAAAAGUCAUUACAGUCUUCUGCCUUCAUAUGCAUUGUAAAUGUUUUAGCCUGUCAAUAUCCAUUUUCUGCGAGAUUAGCUUAAGCUGGUGCAACAGAUUGACAUUCUCAGUUGUUCAGUGUUGAUUCUUCCUCAGUUACUUGAUGUGUGUGUCGAGCAAGUCUUCCUUAGUUACAUGUAUUGCUGAAAAAUGCACAAGGGUAUUUUUUUAUCCUACUAUAAUAUCUCAUCAUUGAUGAUAUUACUUGAGCGAUUCAUAUUAAUAAUUUCACAAAAUUGGUCCAUAAACUGAUGAUGCUUGUACUUAAAGAGCAUGAAAACUCCCAACCAAUAUGUUAUCAAUUUCAUUUUGUAUCCUCCAGUUCAAGCAAUCAAUCAGAACAUGAAAACUUAUAGCCAAUAUGUUAUCAAUAGGUUUAAUCUCAAAGAUCUUAUUGCAGGUAUAGAUUUUAUAUUUUCUUACUUGUGAUUUCAGAUCUUCAAUUUCCAGACUUUGUUUGAGAAAUCACAUUUUCUCAUCUGUUGAAUUCUCUGUACGUACAGGUGAAUUAAAUAUAUGGCAGCGGCUUCAGUUCAUCAGCUCGCUCAGUGCAUUACUUGCCAUGCUUGGAGUCCAGACCAUUCUAGUACGUCUUUAAUUCUGAAAAACCCCACUUUUGAAUUCACAAUUUAUGAAUUUGAUUUUAUUUUAUGAUGUACAAAUCAAUUAAUGAUAAUUUGUUUCUGUUCAAACCGUAGUGAUAGCAUUAUGCCCAAAUAACAGUGAAGUGCAUAUAUAUAGAUUAUUAGAAGACGACAAGUGGGAGAAGAUCCACGUUCUUCAGAAGGUAACUUGAAAUUGAGUUUUUUGAUAUCUUUGCUUGUAUAGUUGUACAGAAUUGUGAUUUCUC
rnacentral:lncRNA from 1 species